rnacentral:rRNA from 1 species
GGGAAUGGACGCUGGCGGCAGGCCUAACCAUGCAAGUCGAGCGGUACACAGAGAGCUUGCUCUCGGGUGACGAGCGGCGGACGGGUGAGUAAUGUCUGGGAAACUGCCUGAUGGAGGGGGAUAACUACUGGAAACGGUAGCUAAUACCGCAUAACGUCGCAAGACCAAAGUGGGGGACCUUCGGGCCUCAUGCCAUCAGAUGUGCCCAGAUGGGAUUAGCUAGUAGGUGGGGUAAUGGCUGGCCUAGGCGACGAUCCCUAGCUGGUCUGAGAGGAUGACCAGCCACACUGGAACUGAGACACGGUCCAGACUCCUACGGGAGGCAGCAGUGGGGAAUAUUGCACAAUGGGCGCAAGCCUGAUGCAGCCAUGCCGCGUGUAUGAAGAAGGCCUUCGGGUUGUAAAGUACUUUCAGCGAGGAGGAAGGCAUUAAGGUUAAUAACCUUGGUGAUUGACGUUACUCGCAGAAGAAGCACCGGCUAACUCCGUGCCAGCAGCCGCGGUAAUACGGAGGGUGCAAGCGUUAANNNGAAUUACUGGGCGUAAAGCGCACGCAGGCGGUCUGUCAAGUCGGAUGUGAAAUCCCCGGGCUCAACCUGGGAACUGCAUUCGAAACUGGCAGGCUAGAGUCUUGUAGAGGGGGGUAGAAUUCCAGGUGUAGCGGUGAAAUGCGUAGAGAUCUGGAGGAAUACCGGUGGCGAAGGCGGCCCCCUGGACAAAGACUGACGCUCAGGUGCGAAAGCGUGGGGAGCAAACAGGAUUAGAUACCCUGGUAGUCCACGCCGUAAACGAUGUCGACUUGGAGGUUGUGCCCUUGAGGCGUGGCUUCCGGAGCUAACGCGUUAAGUCGACCGCCUGGGGAGUACGGCCGCAAGGUUAAAACUCAAAUGAAUUGACGGGGGCCCGCACAAGCGGUGGAGCAUGUGGUUUAAUUCGAUNNNNNGCGAAGAACCUUACCUACUCUUGACAUCCAGAGAACCCAGCAGAGAUGCUUUGGUGCCUUCGGGAACGGGGAGACAVVVGCUGCAUGGCUGUCGUCAGCUCGUGUUGUCCCCUGUUGGGUUAAGUCCCGCAACGAGCGCAACNNNNNNNNNNNNUUGCCAGCGGUCCGGCCGGGAACCCAAAGGAGACUGCCAGUGAUAAACCCGGGGGUGGGGAUGACGUCAACCCUUU